rnacentral:lncRNA from 10 species
UCCCGCCAUGAUUCUGAGGCCUCCCCAGCUAUGUGGAACUGUAAGUCCAAUUAAACCUCUUUUCGUUCCCAGUUUGGGGUAUGUCUUUAUCAGCAGCGUGAAAACAAACUAAUACAUGCUCUAAUAAAUAAGUCCCGUCCCUGCUGGACCACACUUAAAGUUCCCUCUUUUGACCAUAGCAUUUUUGUCUCAGUCAAACCUUUUGUCCCUGGGUUUAACCUUUAUAACACAUACCACACUUUGAAAUUUGAUACAUAUAUAUUCAUUUACUGGUUUAUUGUCUGUUUUGUCUCUUCAGUAGAAGAGUCCUACCUAUCUUGUUCCUUUCUUGAGUAAUUCAAAUUAUAUUAAAUUUUUUUUAAAAAGAGCCUGUAUUGCCUCAGGUGACUGGGAAAUCCAAAGUGCUGGAUUCAGAGUUCAGAUGAAGCUGUCAUGACUCUUGUACUCUUUGUCUCUCAGCUCUGCUUGCUUUUUCUUUGCUCCAAUGUCACAUACUUUUUCCCUCUAUGGAGACAAUGUGAUCCCCUACAUUUCCAGAGAAAGAAGUAAAUGAUGUCGCUCAAAUCUCUGGUGAAAAGUUCGAGGGCUGACUCUGAUUGAACCAUUUGAAGUCAUAUGCUCAUGCCUGAACCAAUCGCAAGAGUCUAUGCAUGCAGGAGGAAUUCUAAUUGGCUAGUCAGGGACACAGUCCUCCCUUACCACAGGAGGGUGGAGUCAGCCUUGACCAAAUCAAGUAGAAGGAACAGGAAUAUUAUGGAAUAAUGAGUGAGGGAUAGUUUCCCAAAUACUGAGCAGACAAAAUAAUAAUAAUAAACACCACCCCACUGUAUACACGAUGCCUAGCAUGGAGCAAUCACAGCAUAAGUGCUCAAUGAAUGUUUUUUAAAUGAAUAAGUAAUUUAUGUGUUUAUUUCUUGCCUCCCUGAUGCCUAAAGAAACAAGGGCAUGAAAAUCAGGCAGGAUCCAUCCCAGGAUUCAAGGCUUGCUCCAGCCCCUAACAGCAGGAUGAUUUGGGGCACUCCUGCCGAGUUCAAAGGAGAGGGCGCUUCAGUCAGACAGCAAAUGAAAGCAAGGUGAGCUCGUUCACUAAAAUGUCCUUGAACGGUUGAGGGCCCACGAUGGUGCCCUGCUGUUCCGCUCCCCUCACCCUGGGUGGCAUUGCUACUUCACUGUCAUGGAACAGGACAGCCCACUUGGUGAGCACAGAACCAUGAGUCUCUGAUCCAGUGCCAAGCAGAAUGUGCCAGCGGAAUAUGCCUGUAUCUGCAAAUGUGUCCUAACUGAAAAGCAAAUCAAACCUCCACCACCCAUUCUCAUACAUCUUUGUGUUAAAUAUGUUAUAGUUUUCUCAAGUCAGAUUUUUGCAAAAUUCUUGCUGCUUUUCAUAUGUGGAUCUUGUCGAUCAUUUGUCCCUUUUAGAGAGCAGUCAGCCUCACAUGAGGAGUACUUGUCAUUCAGCAAGGAAUUAGGAGAUGCCUGGUGUUUGAAGGGUCACUUGGCCUGUGGCUCCUUGAGGCCAACGCCUAGCCCAGUGCUCCUCCAAACCCUGUCCUUCAAGUGGCUGCGACAGUUGCCCAUUUCCAAGAGGCCUUUCCCCUUAUGAAAGGAUCCAGCAUCCUCACUCAGAUUAAAUACGAUUUCUAUUGGUUGUGUUUCCUAAAUAAAUUGCUGGUAAAUUACAUCAUCAA